UCAUUCCAAACACUGCCUAAAUUUUGAAGAAAGAAAAAUGCGGCUUAAAAUCCCAAAAUGAGGUUUUAGUUUUUCUCUAAUCUAUUUACCAACUAAAGUCAUUCGCACCGGUUCGCUAUUAAAACCCCCAUCACAGAAGGGGAGAAAAAGGAAGAAGAACAUUUAAUACAAAAGUUUCUGUAUGUAGAACAAAAAAAAGAAAAAAAAGAAAAAAUGGCGAAACAGGAACAAAUUUCUUCUCGACCAUGGAUACUCGAAGCCGUACCCCUUUUGGUUGUCAUUCUCAUAGCAGCCCAUGUCCUCGCUUUGGUUUAUUGGAUUUAUAGGCUGGCAACAGAGAAACUGCCGCAGAGGACAAAAAAACAUUAGGGAUAC